rnacentral:rRNA from 1 species
UACGAAGGGGGCUAGCGUUGUUCGGAAUUACUGGGCGUAAAGGGCGCGUAGGCGGCAUGGCAAGUCAGGAGUGAAAGGCCUGGGCUCAACCGAGGAACUGCUUUUGAUACUGCCAAGCUAGAGUGCGGAAGGGGCAACUGGAAUUCCCAGUGUAGCGGUGAAAUGCGUAGAUAUUGGGAAGAACACCUGAGGCGAAGGCGGGUUGCUGGGCCGACACUGACGCUGAGGCGCGAAAGCCAGGGGAGCAAACGGG